CGGCAGAAUAUCCAAUAAAAUUCCCCUUUUCCCAACUCUUACUCAGCUCCUUUCCAUAUCAAUCCUCUUGCCAGCAACAAAACAAACCAUGUAUUAUUAUGUGGCAUAAAAAUCCGAAGCAAAACCUCGAAAAACCGUCACAAAUCACAAUUACUGGUUCAACAACUUCAAGUUUCAUCCAUCUGUCGUUUCUCGAUCUCCAGUUCUCCACUGUUCCAACUCCAACUCCAACCAAACCAGCUUCUGACUAGUCUCUCUCCGCAUAUACGACACCGCGUUUCGUCAGAUCUGAAAUUGAAAUGGAUCACGUGCUGGUGGCGCUGGGGGAGACGAAGGAGGAGAGGGAGGUUCGUAUUCGGAGCCUGUUCAACUUCUUCGACGCCGCCAACAACGGUUACUUGGACUACGCUCAGAUAGAGGCGGGGCUAUCGGCGCUGCAGAUUCCGCCGGAGUACAAGUACGCCAGGGAACUCUGCGAGGUUUGCGACGCCAAUAGCGACGGCAGAGUCGAGUACCACGAGUUUCGCCGCUACAUGGACGACAAGGAGUUGGAGCUUUACCGCAUCUUCCAAGCCAUUGAUGUUGAACACGACGGCACCAUUCUCCCUGAAGAGCUCUACGAAGCUCUACUCAAAGCUGGUAUUGAAAUGAAUGACGAGGAGCUGGCUCACUUUGUGGAGCAUGUUGAUAAGGAUAAUAAUGGAAUUAUCACUUUUGAAGAAUGGAGAGAUUUUCUUCUACUUUAUCCUCAUGAAGCAACUAUUGAAAAUAUAUAUCAUCAUUGGGAGAGGGUGUGCCUUGUUGACAUUGGAGAGCAAGCUGUCAUUCCCGAAGGCAUCAGCAAGCAUGCAAACCGGAGCAAAUAUUUUCUUGCUGGUGGAAUAGCAGGAGGUAUUUCUCGUACAGCAACUGCUCCUCUUGAUCGUCUGAAGGUGGUCUUACAAGUUCAAAGCGAACGUGCUUCUAUCAUGCCAGCAGUAACAAGGAUAUGGAAGCAAGAUGGUCUGUUAGGAUUUUUUCGAGGUAAUGGAUUGAAUGUUGUGAAGGUAGCACCAGAAAGUGCCAUCAAAUUUUAUGCUUUUGAAAUGCUGAAAAAAGUAAUUGGAGAGGCCCAAGGCAACAAGUCAGAUAUUGGUACUGCUGGGAGGCUUGUUGCAGGUGGUACGGCUGGUGCAAUUGCACAGGCUGCUAUCUAUCCAAUGGAUCUCAUUAAAACUAGGUUACAGACUUGUCCCUAUGAAGGUGGAAAGGUUCCUAAGCUGGGAACACUUACAAUGAAUAUAUGGUUUCAAGAGGGACCUCGAGCUUUCUACAGGGGGCUUGUUCCAUCUCUGCUUGGCAUGAUUCCUUAUGCAGCCAUUGAUCUCACUGCUUAUGAUACCUUGAAAGAUAUGUCCAAGAGAUAUAUUCUUCAGGAUAGUGAUUGACUCUUAAAUUUUUGGUCCUUGGAGUGAGACCUUUUACUCUUUUUUCUCCUUCAUAGAACCUGGUCCUCUAGUACAACUAGGAUGUGGGACAAUUUCUGGGGCUGUUGGAGCUACUUGUGUCUAUCCAUUGCAGGUUAUUCGAACAAGGUACAAUGCUUUCAGUAUUACUGUUGUUUCUCUGUUCUUCCCCAAAGAAAUGAUGGAGUGAAGGAUGACUGCAGGCACAACCUUCCAACACUUCCGAUGCUUACAAGGGAAUGUUUGAUGCCUUUCGGAGAACUUUUCAGCUUGAAGGCUUUAUAGGUUUCUACAAGGGACUCUUUCCAAAUCUCCUCAAAGUUGUGCCAGCUGCAAGCAUUACUUAUGUGGUCUACGAAAGUUUGAAGAAGAAUCUGGAUCUGGAUUAGAGUUUUUUUUUUUUUUUCUACGGGUACAAUCACAAAAUGUUCCAGACAACCAAAAAGUCGUUUUAAGUAUCAGCUUAGCCCUAGGCACAACCGCACAAGGUACUUCCAGAGUUGUGAACAUUCAAAUUGUAGGUAAAAUUCGUUCACUGAGUAGACCAUGCCUCAUGGUUGAGUAUUAUUUUUUUGCUGAAGCAAUUAUGCUGAUGAUACUUUAGUAAGUCAUUAACCGCUGAUGGUGACGAUAAGAGGCUAUAUUAGAAAGUCCUUCUUCUGAGGAUAUCUUAAAACACGAUUUUAGUCAGAAGCUCAGAAAGUAUUUCCCCAUGACCCCAUGAUUAUGUGAACUACAUGUUGAUCAAGAAUUAGGGUUUUAUCAUAGAUGGCAAAA